AGUGAACGCUGGCGGUAGGCCUAACACAUGCAAGUCGAACGGCAGCACAGUAAGAGCUUGCUCUUACGGGUGGCGAGUGGCGGACGGGUGAGGAAUACAUCGGAAUCUACUUUUUCGUGGGGGAUAACGUAGGGAAACUUACGCUAAUACCGCAUACGACCUACGGGUGAAAGCAGGGGAUCUUCGGACCUUGCGCGAUUGAAUGAGCCGAUGUCGGAUUAGCUAGUUGGCGGGGUAAAGGCCCACCAAGGCGACGAUCCGUAGCUGGUCUGAGAGGAUGAUCAGCCACACUGGAACUGAGACAAGGUCCAGACUCCUACGGGAGGCAGCAGUGGGGAAUAUUGGACAAAGGGCGCAAGCCUGAUCCAGCCAUACCGCGUGGGUGAAGAAGGCCUUCGGGUUGUAAAGCCCUUUUGUUGGGAAAGAAAAGCAGCAGGUUAAUACCCCGCUGUUCUGACGGUACCCAAAGAAUAAGCACCGGCUAACUUCGUG
rnacentral:rRNA from 1 species